AAAUAAGAAGCAAAUAAUUGCAUUUAAUUUCGACUUAAAAUUUAGAGUUAAUUAAAAACUCCUUAUUUA
rnacentral:tRNA from 1 species